rnacentral:rRNA from 1 species
UGGGGAAUAUUGCACAAUGGGGGAAACCCUGAUGCAGCGACGCCGUGUGAACGAAGAAGGUAUUCGUAUCGUAAAGUUCUGUCUUAUGGGAAGAUAAUGACAGUACCAUAGAAGAAAGCUCCGGCUAAAUACGUGCCAGCAGCCGCGGUAAUACGUAUGGAGCGAGCGUUGUCCGGAAUUAUUGGGCGUAAAGGGUACGCAGGCGGUUUAAUAAGUCGAAUGUUAAAGAUCGGGGCUCAACCCCGCAAAGCAUUGGAAACUGAUAAACUUGAGUAGUGGAGAGGAAAGUGGAAUUCCUAGUGUAGUGGUGAAAUACGUAGAUAUUAGGAGGAAUACCAGUAGCGAAGGCGACUUUCUGGACACAAACUGACGCUGAGGUACGAAAGCGUGGGGAGCAAACAGG